rnacentral:lncRNA from 1 species
AGUGUUUCACAGCAUGCAAAGGAGGGCUAGAGAUGGGGAAGGAUCUGGAGGGCAGGAGGUGUGAGGAGCGGCUGAGGUCCCUGGGUCUGUCUGGCUCAGAGCAGAGCAGGCUGAGGGGAGGCCUUGUGGUGGCUGCAGCUCCUCACAGGGAGCGGAGGGACAGCGCUGAGCUCUGCUCUGUGUGACAGCAGCAGGGCCUGAGGGAACGGCAUGGAGCUGUGCCAGGGGAGGCGCAGCUGGGGGUGAGGGAGAGGGUCUGCACCAGAGGGAGGUGGGCAUGGAACGGGCUGUGCAGGGCGGUGGGCACGGCCUUGAGGGCCAGAGCUCAGGGACUGUUUGAGCACUGCUCUCAGACAUAGGGUUUGGGUGGUGAUGUAUGGAGCCCGGAGUUGGAUUCAAUAAUUCCUGUAGGUCCAUGCCAUCUUGGGUUAUCCUGUGAUUAUGUGAUGUGAUUCUACAUCCCCUGACAGAGAGUUCCUCCCCAGCAUUCCUAUAGCCCCUUUAGUUACUGGAAGGCCACUCGAAGGUCUCUUUCAUGCCUUCUCUUCAGGCUGAAUACCCCAGCUCUCAGCCUGUCUCCUUAGCAGAGGUGCUCCAGCCCUCUGAAUGUCCUUGUGGCUUGCUCUGGAUCCACUCCAACAGUUCCAUGUCUUUCUGAUGUGGCUCUGGUGAUGGUACCCUACAGGCACGACAUCCCAUCUCAUUGCAUCCCACUUGCUCCAUCCCUGCUCUCCAUCUGCUGUUCCUCCCAGCCCAGCCUUGCAGCCACACUUUUCUCCAUCCUGUCCAUCAUCUGCCUUUCCUUCAGCCACGCUUUCCUGCUGCCCUCUGUCCUUCCUCGCCAGCACCUGCAGUGCCCACUGCCAUCAGAUCUGUCAGCCUGGGGCAGCUCUCUGCAGGCUGAGGAGCACGCUGGACUAACCGGCUGUUUUAAACAGAAUGAAGCAUUUUAAAACUCGCAAACAAAUCUGUAGAAGCUGCUCCCUGCUCAUAUUUGCAAGGAUUUUUCAAAGCCUUUUUUAUCCUUUGUUCCUUCUGGUGAGGAGGGAGAGAAAGGAAGCAAUUACAAAUCCUUAGCUUCUUGGAUAAAUGCCAUACCAACAGCCUCCUGUGAUUCCAUUUUUUUUUUUCUUUGUGGACCAUUUGCUGAAUGUCACAGUUUAAGGGGACCACAGGGAACAGGUGGCUGUGAGCUCUGUGGUUUGCUCUCUGUGGUGGGAGCAUAAGCAAAAGGGUACGCGUGCCUCAGGUGGAGCUUUCCUCCCAGGAGAACAGGGCUGAACAGGAAGGGAGGCACAGGGGGAUAUAUCCUCCCUUGCCAAUUGACUUGGGGGUAUUUGGGGAAAAGACUCAUUCCAUCUGCCUGGCUCCACCUCCAUCUCCAGGCAGCAGCUGAUGAGACACAGAAACUCAACAGCAGAGAGGCAGACAAGUUUAUUUCCAGUUUGAUUUCAGGGGAAAUCAGAGAGGAGAGCUUUUGUGUCUAAUGGAGAAUAAAUACAAGCCAGGCUCUUCUCUGAAUUCCUGUCAAAGACACGGGGUACACAAAGGGACUGUGGCAAAGCACCUCCUGAGGCAUUUAUAUAUCCUGAACUGCACCACUCCUCUCCUUUUUACUUGCCCAUGACGGAGCAGAUCCUUGCAUGCAGCAGCAAACGUUCCUGCUUGGACACAGUGGCUUUGAUAACAAUUGCUGGUGUCUGUCUUGCGUAAAUCUGCUGUGCUGACGUUCAGACUUUCUUACGUGGGCCUUUAAAUCCUCGGGUGGCACCCUGUCCGAAGCAGAUUGUGGAUGGGAUCCUGGAACAGAGACGCCAGUUAACAGGCGUUUGUGAGAUCUCUGCCCUCUGUUAUCAGCAGAAGUCCUGCCGUGACCAGUCAACUAGCAGCAACAGUCAUGCUUUAUAAGACAAAGCCGACUUAGCCCAGGAAUGCAAGGCAAUGGUGCUGGAGGUAAAAGAAUAAUCUUUUGGGGAACUUGAUACUAAUACAAAAUUAACUAAUCUCUCCAAGAUAUAAGCUGCAAGUGCAAAGGUCUGGCCGCACACCGAUUUGCUUGGACAAGCUCUGUGCAUUGGCCCAUUUCCCAACACACACACCCCACACAUCCCUUAGCACCCCACCACCUACAGGAGCAUUGGGAUGUUUUACACCUUGCAUGGCUUCAGGCUCCCAGAGUCUAAAUCACCAAUGCCAAUUCAAAAUACAGGUGAAAUGCUGGUCGUCUUUUCCACAUUUGAUGGGGCACAUUUAUGUGCUGGAGGCCUCUCAUCUCUCUUCACAACGGGGAAAACAUAACAUGCUGCUGGGAAGUUACAGUGUUAUUUUUACAGAAGUGUAUGAUUGCAGAGAGCAGAAUAAGAAAAGUGUGGCCUUUCAGUAACCAGGAGGGUCAUGUCAAAUUCAGGACAGCAUUUCUUAAUGGCACACGACCUGUUACUCCUGAAAAAGCAGUCAAGUUUAAAAUGUCACCUUGGCAGCUGCUUGGCAUCAUUGUAACCCCAUGGACAAACAGAGGGGCAGGUUUCUGUUGGAUGGACCACGCUGGCAUCUCAGGUGUGACAAACUCAAAGUACAAGCAUCCCUUUGCUAACUGGGAUAGUUCAAGAAAAAACAUGACGUGCUUAGAGGCCAUUAAAGUGAUCAAUAAAUGACAAUGAUUCAGGUGCUGCUUCAGAGACUUUUUGAUCACAUACUACCUUGUCCAGGUUUUAUGGUACAUGAUGAAGAGGACUUUGUAAGCGAAGCCAGCAUCAGGCAGUUUGUUUUCAACUUUUUGUGAAAAAAAAUCAGAAAGCACAGCAAUGCUGACCUGACUUUGCAGAAUGUAUGAUUCAGAAUUAAGGCGUCGACCUGCUAUGCUUGUGCCUUGUUCUGUGACCCCAUGGGAGCACAGGAAGCUGCAGUCAGUUUCCUGGGAAAGUUAGCUAGGAUGGGAAAAUGUUACAAAGCAGGAAACACAUGUGUUUGUGUUUUGGGGCUUGAACUCCAGCAGUUUAUCUUCAGACCAAUAUCACUCUGCAGUACCCUGGGAACAUACCAGGGGCUGGCAGAGCAACAGCAACAACCUGCUGACAAAGCUCUGCAGUAUACGCUCACUCUUUUUUUCUUCAUACUUUUUUCUUUUUUAAAAGGGCUUUUCAAAAAUAAAUAGAAAUAUCACCUCUUCUAUCCCCAGCACAAAACACCCAGAGUGGUAUUGCACUAUGCAAUUAAGACAAUAUGGUCCCAGCCCCAGAAACUGUUGCCUGUGCAGGCAUUUGGCUCAGACCUGGAUUUAUAGAGACGUUUCUCUGGUAGUGAAGGGCUAGCUGCAGGCUGAGGGACCUCCAUGUUCUCACUGGGCACCACUUCCAUGUGGUCUGCCUGGAGCUGCUCUGAGGUCUCCACGCUGACAUCCAUCAGCACACUCCCGUCAUGAUCUGUGGGACAGCUCACAUGCUUGGCACCACUCUUCGCUUUCUUUGGUCUAUCGAAUCGGAAGUCAGCAGGGUAUAAGUGAACAGUGACCAAGUGAUCCUUCCUGUCUUUGCUGCUCUUGAACUUCUCC